CACCGAUCAAGCGGCAUUCAUCCUAACCAGUAUGGACAAAUUGUUACCUCUACGAAGAAUCAAUUGGAGGGCAAGUCUGGUGCCAGCAGCCGCGGUAAUUCCAGCUCCAAUAGCGUAUAUUAAAAUUGUUGCAGUUAAAAAGCUCGUAGUUGAAUUUCUGCUGCAUUGCUUUUGCUCCUUUACGAGUCUUUGCAUUGUGGCUUAUUUCGGACUUUGUUUUACAAUGUCCGGAUGUUUACUUUGAGAAAAUUAGAGUGCUCAAAGCAGGCUUUCGCCUUGAAUAGUUUAGCAUGGAAUAAUAAAGUAGGACUUUGGUUCUAUUUUGUUGGUUUUAGGUACCAAAGUAAUGGUUAAUAGGAACAGUUGGGGGCAUUCGUAUUUAACUGUCAGAGGUGAAAUUCUUAGAUUUGUUAAAGACGAACUACUGCGAAAGCAUUUGCCAAGGAUGUUUUCAUUAAUCAAGAACGAAAGUUAGGGGAUCGAAGAA
rnacentral:rRNA from 1 species